GACGAACGCUGGCGGCGUGCUUAACACAUGCAAGUCGAACGGACGGAAAGAGAAGCUUGCUUCUCUGGAAGUUAGUGGCGGACGGGUGAGUAACGCGUGGGUAACCUGCCUUUUAGAGGGGGAUAACACUUCGAAAGGAGUGCUAAUAUCGCAUAACAUUAGUGAAUCGCAUGGUUUACUAAUCAAAGGAGCAAUCCGCUAAAAGAUGGACCCGCGUCUGAUUAGCUAGUUGGUGGGGUAACGGCCUACCAAGGCGACGAUCAGUAGCCGGCCUGAGAGGGUGAUCGGCCACACUGGGACUGAGACACGGCCCAGACUCCUACGGGAGGCAGCAGUGGGGAAUUUUGGACAAUGGGCGCAAGCCUGAUCCAGCAAUGCCGCGUGCAGGAAGAAGGCCUUCGGGUUGUAAACUGCUUUUGUCAGGGAAGAAAUCUUCUGGGCUAAUACCCUGGGAGGAUGACGGUACCUGAAGAAUAAGCACCGGCUAACUAC
rnacentral:rRNA from 1 species